GCCUGGGUGGCUCAGUUGGUUGAGCGUCUGACUUCGGCUCAGGUCAUGAUCUCGCGGUCUGUGAGUUCGAGCCCCGCAUCGGGCU
rnacentral:tRNA from 1 species